AGAGAGAGACAUGCGCGCAUAUCAAUAAGCGGAGGAAAAGAAACUAACAAGGAUUCCCCUAGUAACGGCGAGUGAAGCGGGAAGAGCUCAAAUUUGAAAUCUUAAAGGGUUUCCCUUUACGAAUUGUAGCUUAAAGAAGUGUUUUCUGUUGAGGUUUUGGUAAAAGUUCUUUGGAAUAGGACAUCAUAGAGGGUGAGAAUCCCGUAUUUGACCUUUACUUUCAACUUUGUGAUACACUUUCAAAGAGUCGGAUUGUUUGGGAAUGCAGUCCAAAAUGGGUGGUAAAUUUCAUCUAAAGCUAAAUAUUGGCGAGAGACCGAUAGCGAACAAGUACCGUGAGGGAAAGAUGAAAAGAACUUUGAAAAGAGAGUUAAACAGUACGUGAAAUUGUCAAAAGGGAAGCGUUUGACACCAGUGUUGUUUUUCUGAAAAUCAAUUAAAGAACUGUUUAUGCUAAGUUGUUUAGACUUUAUCAGCUAACUGUUUAGUUUUGAGCUUUUCUUUAAUGCACUUUUCAGUUAACAAGUCAACAUCAAUUUCUUUUGCUGUAAAAAAGCUUGAGGAAGGUGGCUUGAGAUUCGUCUUAAGUGUUUAUAGCCUCUUGCCUCUGCAGUCGGAGAGAUUGAGGUCUGCAGCGUAGAUCCUUCGGGGUUAAAUAGCAUUUGUGCUAAGUUAUAGCCUUUCAUAGACAACUUGUUGACUAUGAUCUGUCAUGUAGCUUACUCGCUUAUGCUAUUUUACCUACGCUUAGGAUGUUGAGCGCAUGUCUCUCUC
rnacentral:rRNA from 1 species